rnacentral:rRNA from 1 species
CCUGGUUGAUCCUGCCAGUAGUCAUAUGCUUGUCUCAAAAGAUUAAGCCAUGCAUGUGUAAGUAUGAACUAUUUCAGACUGUGAAACUGCGAAUGGCUCAUUAAAUCAGUUAUAGUUUGUUUGAUGGUGCGUGCUACUCAGAUAACCAUAGUAAUUCUAGAGCUAUCGUGCAACAAACCCUGACUUCCUCGGGAAGGGAUGAAUUUAUUAGAUAAAAAAAAGGCUGGCGUGGGCUUUGCCCGCUGCUCGAUGAUUCAUGAUAACUUCGGCGGAUCGCCGCGGCCCUCGUGCGGCGCCACAUCAUUCAAAUUUCUGCCCUAUCAACUUUCGGUGGUAGGAUAGGGGCCUACCAUGGUGGUGACGGGUGACGGAGAAUUAGGGUUCAAUUCGGAGAGGGAGCACGAGAAACGGCUACCACAUCCAAGGAAGGCAGCGGUAGCGCCAAAUUACCCAAUCGACACGGGUAGUGACAAUAAAUAACAAUACCGGGCUCUUGAUGCUGUAAUUGGAAUGAGUACAAUCUAAAUCCCUUAACGAGGAUCCAUUGGAGGCAAAGUCUGGUGCCGGCAACCCGCGGUAAUUCCAGCUCAAUAGCGUAUAUUUAAGUUGUUGCAGUUAAAAAAGCUCAGUAGUUGGACUUUGGGGCCGGGUCGGUCGGUCCGCCCGCGGUGUGCACCGUCGUCCCAUCCCUUCUGUCGGCGAUCGCGUGCCUGGCCUCAAUCAAUUGUUCGUGCCUCCGCGCUGUUACUUUGAAGAAAUUAGAGUGCUUAAAAGCAAGCCCACGCUCUGGAUACAUUAGCAUGGGAUAACAUCACGGGAUUUCGGUUCUAUUGUGUUGGCCAUUCGGGAUCGGAGUAAUGAUUAAGAGGACAGUCGGGGGGCAUUAAUUUCAUAGUCGAGGUGAAAUUCUUGGUUUUAUGAAAGACGAACCACUGCAAGAAAGCAUUUGCCAAGGAUGUUUUCAUUAAUCAAGAACGAAAGUUGGGGGCUCGAAGACGAUCGAGAUACCGUCCUAGUCUCAACCAUAAACGAUGCCAACCAGGGGAUGGCGGGAUGUUGCUUUUAGGACUCCGCCCGGCACCUUAUGAAAAUCAAAGUCUUUGGGUUCCGGGGGAGUAUGGUCGCAAAGGCUGAAACUUAAAGGAAUUGACGGAAGGGCACCACCGGAGUGGAGCUGCGGCUUAAUUUGACUCAACACGGGAAACUUACCGGUCCGGACAUAGCAAGGAUUGACAGACUGAGAGCUCUUUCUUGAUUAUAUGGGUGGUGGUGCAUGGCCGUUCUUAGUUGGUGGAGCGAUUUGUGCGGUUAAUUCCGAUAACGAAACGAGACCUCGACGCUAACUAGCUUCUGCGGAGGCAUCCCUCCGCGACCAGCUUCUUAGAGGGACUAUGGCCGUUUAGGCCACGCGGAAGUUUGAGGCAAUAACAGGUCUGUGAUGCCCUUAGAUGUUCUGGGCGCGCGCGCUACAUGAUGUAUUCAACGAGUCUAUAGCCUUGGCCGACAGGCCCGGGUAAUCUUUGAAAAUUUCAUCGUGAUGGGGAUAGAUCAUUGCAAUUGUUGGUCUUCAACGAGGAAUUCCUAGUAAGCGCGAGUCAUCAACUCGCGUUGACUACGUCCCUGCCCUUUGUACACACCGCCCGUCGCUCCUACCGAUUGAAUGGUCCGGUGAAGUGUUCGGAUCGAGGCGACGGGGGCGGUUCGCCACCCGCGACGUCGCGAGAAGUCCACUGAACCUUAUCAUUUAGAGGAAGGAGAAGUCGUAACAAGGUUUCCGUAGGUGAACCUGCGGAAG